GGGGGGUGAAGCCUCCGGGGAGACGCGGGGUCUGUUCCUUCCUGCCUGGCGGAGAAAGCACGUGGUCCUCCUGCAGUUUACUGUGGGACCUAUUAUACUGCAACAGUCAGUUGAUGAACUGCAGAAAGUUGGAGAAGGCAAAAGGCCAUUUUCACUGCAUGGGCUUUGUUCAAAAGCAAUAAGAGUAGCACACUGAAUGAAGAAGAGAUGCUUUAUUGUUCAUCCCUAGGGCAGCAGUGAAGUCACAAAAGAGAUCUUCGGAGAUAGAAAUGUGUAUUUAGAGCACUGCCCAGACUUUAACUAGUCCAAAGAGAGAGAAUAUAAACAACACUGAAGAAGAGAAAGUAAAGCCAGAAUACUCAGUGUGGAAAGGAAUCUCCUGCUCCAUUAUCACCUUCCGGUAUUUAAGAUUGAUAGUACAGUAAGUAAGGAUCACUGAGCAACAGGGAUCCCAGAUUGUCAGAAAUCUACAAAGGCAUUAAGAGAUGAACCUGAAAGCUUCACCGGCUGUUCUUCAUUACUGUUGAGUCUUACAGUUAAGAUGGGAGAGAACUGGGAGCAUGGAUUUGUCCAUUUUAGUUGUGUUUGUCAAAAUGACAUGGGAUCUAAAAUGGCUGGCAACUCUUAGUAAUGGCAACACUCACAAGAUUAUUUGGCUUUUAUAUUUUGUUUUUCUUUAUUUUCCCAAACAAAAAACCAAACAUCCUGUAGAUGGCUUCAGAAGGGAUGUCUCAAUGAUAGUAGAUCUUUGUUUAAAUGGAUUUGCCGAAAGAUUGCUUGGAUUAAGUAUGAUUUGUUCUAGUUUCAGUCAAAGAAAAUAGCUGUUAUUUUGCAGUAACA